GGUAAACAACACUAGGCGCUUCUCAGGUGAAGGAGCAAGUGGCGAACACUGGUAUUAGCACUUGGAGAAAAUGCAGGCUUCUGAAUGGAAGAGGAAAAGCAGCGGGGUAGCCUCAGCAAACCGCAGGGAUAAGCCACAAUUUCAUUGAGUCCUGUCCACAUUUACAAAACUAUGGGGUCAUCCAUUGGAGCAUGAGAAGCCUGCCAAGACACACCUUCAAUAAUGACAUUUUUCCUCCUUAAAUAGCUCUUAUGGGCCUAUAGCUCUUCAGUAUGGGGCUAAGCCUUGAGAAUAUCUUCCCAGAUUGUUUGGACUUUUGCUGGCUUAAUCUUGUACAAAUAACCAUAGCCACUAAGAUCUCAUGAGUGUGGUACACAUUACAUCCAGAAGAGAGCAUUUCUUAGCAUUUCCCUCUGUUCUUGGCUCUUAUAUUUCUUCUGAUUGCUCUUUGGUGACAUUCUCUGAGCCUUGGGGAGUGUGGAGUUGGUAUGAUUUGAUAUAGAUGUCUCAUCUAGAUCUGUGUGUCACUGUGUAAAUAGUUGAAAUUUGGCAGUAAUCUAAUUAAGUUAUAAUUUCAAAAAGAAGAAAAAGUAGUAAUAUAAGCUUAAUGCCAUGGAAUAUCUAACAUUCUAAUUUCCUGAUGGAACCUUCCAGCUGGCUACUUCCAAUAGCCAUCUAGGAAAGGGAAUCCAGAUGUUCAGAGAUCUGCAUUGCAGAUCAAGGAGCUAGUGUGUGUGCUGGGGCAGAAGUUACCAGGGUGACCUUUCAAUGGCUUUAAAAACUGGUCUGUGGUGAAUGUCAAUCACUAUUAUAAUGCUGAGUACAUGCCUUUCUGAAUCUCUAAGAUUAUUAUAAAUCUCCAUACUGUAGCUAAUCAUGCAUGGGUAGAAUAUAAAAAGGAGCAUGGCCAUUCUGAAAGUCCAUGAGAUGUAUGCUCUGACUCUUUCUAUGCAUACAAGGCGUAGCUCCACCACAGAGCAUGCUGAUCAAGUGUAUAUUUUAUCAAGAGUGUGUGAGGUGUAGUUAAAGCAACAAGAACAUUAUUCUGCAAACUGAAAUCAGAAAAAAACCAGAAAUUAUAUUUUUUCAAAGAAAAAUCCACCCCUAAUGUUUCCAUCCCUGUCAUGAGCAGUGUGCCUUUCUCUUCUCAACAUGCUUAGCAUUCUUGAGUGUUAUGGUGACAAGAUCUGUGUAAGGAUCACCCUAUAUGCUCUCUUUAGAGACUCAGGCUGGCUCUGGUUCUUUGUGUCCCUACUUGACUGGGCAUGCAAUCCUUGCUCCACUCCUUGGCGGAAGCUACAGUGCUUGUCUCACAGGAAGUGAGUGGGGAGCAAGCUCUUCUUUACUCCCAUCUGGAGUUACUGCAUGCUGUUUCCUAAAGAAAGGAUUCAUCCCAGAUUUAGUUAGAGAGCUGCAGGAAGCUCACUCCAGUACUAACUGCAACUCUGUGUGUCUCUGCCCCUAAAAGGCUUGGAAACAUAAUGAACUUUUGUUAGUUUGUGUGCUCCCUUCAGGAAUUCUGUUGUAUCAGUUCCCAUGAAGAUAUAGACAGCACAAACUUGUGACUUAAAGUCCUGAGUUUGAUCUGGUUCUUUCAUACCAUUUGUAUGUUUUAGUAUUUUAUUUUCUAAUUUAUUUCACAGAGAACAAAGCUACGGUUUCAAUUGUCCAAUGAAAAGGGAGACUAAACAGUUUUUACGUGCUAAUAUUAUUUUCCUAAAAUAACUGCAAUAUAUUCUCAGAUAGAUGCUUUUAACAGCAAUGCCACAUUCAUUGACACAUAUAGCCACGAUAAAUGCCUUCUACAGAUUUUAUUUCAUUUGUUUUGUUCAUAGGUCUUAGAUUAAAGCAGGCUAUAUUCAUUAAUUUUAGCCUUUAAGCAAUCCGUUGGCUGUUUGAAUUAAUCGUAGCAAAUAUCAAUGCUCUGCACCCUACAUGGCUUUUCCUUAACUGAAUUGUGUUAGCCACUGUGGUAGAUUUCUCAGUAUGUUUUUUCUCUUCUCUACAAAUGGCUGCUGACUUUGUAAGUGUGCUAAGUCACAUCCAUAUGAUCUUAUAACAGCCAUGAAACAAACACCAGGCAUUGGCUUGAUUGAUAGAUGAAUAUUCAGUGUCUGAAUUUGAUCCUUCUCACAGAAAUUUUGAAAUUGAUGUGGCUGUGGCCAGUGGCAGUGCAUACGUGGUGUCUGGGUUUCUUUGUUACUAAGCAGCUCAUUUAGUAUUGACAGUAUAUGUAAAACUAUGAACUAUUAUGCAAACACCGGGAUAUAACAUAUUUGAAUGCACUAAUUCUUUCAUUACCACUCUUUUGCCCGUCAAUGUUUGAAAUGACAGGACUUGUGAAACUAUGAACCACUGUUUAGUUUAUGUAUUCCUACAACUAAAAUCUAUUUUUAGAGAAUGACUGUCAGAUCCUAGAUUGUUUCAUUCUAUUGUGCUAACUACAAUGGGUGUUAAUAGUGACAGCUAAUUGAUAAUAUUAUAAUAAGCAUUUAUCAAAGUGGCAGUUACUAUUUAUUCUCUACCUAUAUAGAGAAGCCAUGCUACCUAGCAUCUAUUUACACAGAUAUGUAAACUUAAGGUCCACUAACGAUUGCUCUCCUGGUUGGAUGGAGACGGCAUCUUGCUGUUUUACCCAAUCUGGGAUUAAACGACUUGGCACCAAGUCUUUUGCUUUAUCCUGCUGAAUUUUUCGGGCUACAUGUGCAUCCCUACUCCUCAGACUAGAGGCUGUUAAUUCACAAAAUAUUGCUAGUGAAUGAAAUAUGAAAUAUUAACCAGGGAUGUAAUGUUUAUCUAAUGUAUGUUAUUGGGGAGAUUUAAAUUUAGGCUUAUAUACAAAUACUGUCUUAGAUUGCAUACUCUAUACUACAUUAUAAUUAUGCAUAUAUUUAAUGUUUUUAACUAAAACCAAUGUCAAAUAUGUUCAUGAGGACAGUUACAGAAGGGUAGUUUGUUUUUCUUUUCAACUUUGAGUAACUAUGUCAGAUCUCUUCAAAACAGUUUUAUAGCUCACUAAUGUUGAUGCCAUUUAAAGGGUUGUUUACAUAUGGCAUAGCUACUCUGAUUAGUCUGUAGAAAGUUAAUUUUGUGUUUAAAGGAUAAUAUCUUCAUUCUUCCACAUUUUUAAUUACACUAGGGACUUGAAAUAGAGGCCAGUGGCAUAGCAGGCUACUAUGCUGAACCAACACAAGCUGUUCAUCUCCAAUAUGCUUCUGUCCUCAUCUUGAACUUUUGCCAUUUUAAUUUUUCUUUCCUGUUUCAGGACAAGGAAUAUUCAUUUUAUUAUCCCAUAUGUUCUACUGUCUAUGUAUCUUGGUUUGAAAAAUAAAGAAAAGUAUCAUAGGAGUUUCCUAAACUGGUUGUCUAGACAUACCUGCGCCCUGGAAAUACAUGCAUGGCAGCAAUGGUCCUCACCAAAUGCUGAAGUGAAAGGAGAGAAGAAGGCUGUACCUGCUUCACAGUGGGUGUUUGAGGGCAGCAUGAUCUACUGCUGGCUCAGUAGAUUUUGAAAUUAAUUGAAUUUUGAAACUCAAUAUCAUUGUUUUUUUAAAAGUUUGCCUUUUGGCUCUCCCUUCUAUUUAGAGAGUUUGGGGAAAUGGUUUUUCCUUUAGUGCAGGGGUUGUAAGGGGAAAUGAAAGUGUUAGAUAUUAGUGCAGAGAGAGUUGCCUCCCUGAAAAAUGUCAGCAGUGAAACAACAUAAUCACACAAGCCUUUAAAACCACACACUUUGUAGCAAUGAACAUAUAAAGACAUAGAGGAGACUUUGGCAACUUUAUUCAGCUUUCCAGAAUCAGCUUAAAGAAGCAUAGAUGAUAAAUAUUUAUAUUAUUCAGUUCUGAAUGUUAUGUUAAGUGAAUGACAUGAUAGCAAUAAGUAACAGGGUACCUGAGGUCAAAAUUUAAAAGUGUGUUCUCUUUGUGUGUUCAGUACAUGAGUUUUUAUCUGUACGUCCAUGUGAUUUCAACUGUGGGUUUUAAACUUAAAAUUUUUAGUUGCAAUACUAGCUCUGAAUGCAACCAUUUGUAGACCUACCUAAGAUAAAUUUUUCUAUGAUAAACGAGUUUCCUGCCACAUGGCACAAUAUUUUCCUUGUUCAUAUCACUGACAGCUUAUAAAAGAUUUCAGAUACUUAAACUUAAGUAAUACAAGAUAUAUAUUUUAUUUUUAACAUCCUUUCUGUUGUGUAUAUCACUCUUGUUUUUUCCACACAUAUUUAUAUCGAUGAAUAAAAACAAAAUUGUCAUCCAAACUUAUCAUAGCAGGGACUGGAUGUUCUAUACUAAUUGACAAAUUAGAUGCACAUUAAUCACCAGGAACACAUGGCAUCUACCCCAAAAUUUGGAAAGCACUCAAAAGUGUCAUUUGUGAAUUGGGGAUUGCUAACAAAACAGGCAGGUUUUUUUUUUCCCCAUCCCAGUGGGCAGGAUGUCAGGGCUCUGGUGAACUAACUUAUUGUUAUAUGAGACUGCAAAGACCAUGAACAUCAUUCCCUUUACCAAGCUGGGCAAUGAGACAAAGAACAGGUUAGAACUACCAUUUCCCAGGGC
rnacentral:lncRNA from 1 species